UGUUACUGUUCGGAAGAUGUUCUUGAUUGAAGAGGAGAGGAAUAUAAACAUAUAAAAGGAUGAUGAAUGAAAAAAAACCCAUCAUAAAAGUCCUCAUAAUAUUCAGAAUGUACAUCCUACGUUUGGCAAAUAUACAUGUGUGUAUUUAGAGCCAGAAAAAGUACUGGCCCAAAGCUGCAGCAGGAAAAUACUGGCCCGAGCAUCCUUUUCAAGGGCAGUGGAAGCCAAACUAGACACGGUAUGGGAAUUUCAUGCCUGGAACUCGCAAUGCCUUUUUCUUUUUCAAGAAGGAGCUACAGUCCCACCCUGCCCCAGUUUGGACUGCAGCUACGGCACAGGAGGAGAGGUAAACCUCCAUAAGAAGAUAUUGUGGGCCUGCUGUCUACAAGACUAGGAAGCUAAGGAGAGACACGUUGAAGGGAAGAACUCCUCAGUGACAGCAGCACCCUUUCUCACUUCUACUCACUCACUCAUCUAGUCAUUGUACUGAUUUGCUGCCACUGCUACCCAUAAUUCAUUACCAUCUUGUAUCUUGUGCCUCUCCCUGGGCAACCAGGCAGCCAUUCUGUAUACACAGAUGCAAAAACUACCCAUCUGCAAUGCCAAGCAGGCUACAAGCGAGGCCCACACAGCAAUUAUUAGUGGGGACACAGAUGGUCCAGUGUGGGUGGUCACUUUCCCCACCUAGGAGAUCUCCAUCUUCUCAAAGUGCAUGAUGGACGACAAUGCAACUGUGGCAACUUUGCCCACUGUGAAGAUUCAGUGAUGGGGAAAGCUGUACAUCAGAGCUGCUCAACUUCAGCCCCUCCUGCAGAUGUUGGCUAUUGGCCACUGUGGCUGGGGCUUAUGGGAGUUGUCCAAAAACACCUGGAAGACCAAAGUUGAGCAGGCCUGCUGUACAUUCUACUUUCUCAGACCCAGGGGCUCUGCAGGAUCAGAAAUGUUGGCAGCCCUGUUCUCUGUGAUACUUUCAGACCUCAUACUACAGCUAAUGCUGCUCAAUAAAAGCUAUACAUUUCUUGCUUUCUGGCUCCUGCAAUACAAAGCACCGGGGAGGAUU